rnacentral:rRNA from 1 species
GAUGAACGCUGGCGGCGUGCCUAAUACAUGCAAGUCGAGCGAACGGACGAGAAGCUUGCUUCUCUGAUGUUAGCGGCGGACGGGUGAGUAACACGUGGAUAACCUACCUAUAAGACUGGGAUAACUUCGGGAAACCGGAGCUAAUACCGGAUAAUAUUUUGAACCGCAUGGUUCAAAAGUGAAAGACGGUCUUGCUGUCACUUAUAGAUGGAUCCGCGCUGCAUUAGCUAGUUGGUAAGGUAACGGCUUACCAAGGCAACGAUGCAUAGCCGACCUGAGAGGGUGAUCGGCCACACUGGAACUGAGACACGGUCCAGACUCCUACGGGAGGCAGCAGUAGGGAAUCUUCCGCAACGGGCGAAAGCCUGACGGAGCAACGCCGCGUGAGUGAUGAAGGUCUUCGGAUCGUAAAACUCUGUUAUUAGGGAAGAACAUAUGUGUGAGUAACUGUGCACAUCUUGACGGUACCUAAUCAGAAAGCCACGGCUAACUACGUG